AUUGAACGCUGGCGGCAGGCCUAACACAUGCAAGUCGAACGAGUGGCGGACGGGUGAGUAAUGUCUGGGAAACUGCCUGAUGGAGGGGGAUAACUACUGGAAACGGUAGCUAAUACCGCAUACCAUCAGAUGUGCCCAGAUGGGUUUAGCUAGGGGGUGGGGUAACGGCUCACCAAGGCGACGCUCCCUAGCUGGUCGGAGAGGAUGACCGGCCACACUGGAAUGGGGACACGGUCCAGACCCCUACGGGAGGCAGAAGUGGGGAAGUUUGCAAAAGGGGGGAAAGCCGAAGGCGGCCAUGCCGCGUGUAGGAAGAGGGCCUUCGGGUUGUAAAGUACGUUCAGCGGGGAGGCGGUACCCGCAGAAGAAGCUCCGGCUAACUCCGUGCCAGCCGCCGCGGUAAUUC
rnacentral:rRNA from 1 species